AUGGAUAUCAACAAUCAGUCAAGCAAAGAAAUAUUCAUGGGAGAUAUACAGGGAUCCAUAAGAAUGUGCACCGUAUGGCACUACCCUUUUGUCAUUGAGCCACUAUCACAUUUUGGUCAGCAAUCAGUUCAAGCAAUUCUCAGGGCCAUUAGUCAGAAGUUUGAAUUUACAUCUGAACGAACAAUACAUCAAGCCACAGAAGAAAGAGUGGUCAUCUCUUUUUCUUGGUACAAAGAUGCCAUACAAGCAUUCAGACUUCUGAAUCGCACAAGCAGUUUGUAUAUAAAUGGUGUGCCAUAUCGUUUUAACAUGGACACUUCAAAAGUAUAUCUGCCAGGAGUGGUCGCUGAUCACUAUGAUUAUAGUAGCCCUAAAGAGUUUGCCUUGCGUUUGCGUUCACAUGUAGUUGCAGUUUUAGCCUUUUAG
rnacentral:rRNA from 1 species